rnacentral:RNase_P_RNA from 1 species
CGGUAAGGGUGAAACGGUGGGGUAAGAGCCCACCAGCGCCGCGGUGACGCGGCGGCUCGUCAAACCCCGUCCGGUGCAAGGUGAAGCAGAUCCCGUCGACGCGGCCCGCCGAGGGAUCGGGUACACCGCUCGAGCCGCAGGGCAACCUCCGGCCUAGAUGGAUGGUCAUCCGCGACAAAAUCCGGCUUACAGGCCUGCUACGGAG